CCUAGGCAGCCAUGGAUCCCAUUACCCCAGCUUCUCAGCCAGUAGCACCCACCUGGGUGCAGGGAGGGAUCUCCAGGGAUGCAUAGCCAUUCAACACCAAGACCGUCAAUACUUAGCACCGCCUGGACGUAGUUCAUGCCAGAUCAGUAAUUCUGCAACACUGAGCAAGGCAGUGCAACUACAAGGUGCUGUAUAAAGGAAGAUGUUUCUACAUGCUACUUUCCUGGCUCCACUAUACAAUACUUCUUUCUCAGUGGUUCAGAACAUCCUCCAAUUCACAUAACAAGAGCCGGCUGAAAAGCUUUAUGAGGCAGUGCAAGGAGCUGCUAUUGAGACAACGAGUAACAGACAGCAAAGAUAGACACACCAGAAGACAUCUGAACCUUACAGAGAACAACUGGAAUGUGUUGGAAAGGACAGGAGGAGGAAGAAGGGAUGGUUUUCACUAUGGACCCCCCAGUUCUUUCCAUGAUGGCAGAGGCAUCCAUUUCACCAUGCUUCUUUUCAGAAAGCGGCACGUAAAUGAAAUAUGAAAUUUCUUAUAUUUUGACCAGGAAUAUUGGUCAGCACCCACCACAGAAGGAGGAUUAAAUGUUUACAUGUUGCAACUAUAUUGUAGAGUGCUUCCAUGAUUUACAAGUUCUGGCCUCUUGAUGUAGCACAUGAAAGACUAUUUAAAUUACAUCAAUUUUGAUUUUCCCAAACUUAGGCAAAAGUUUUUGUUUGUUUGUUUGUUUGUUUGGUGUUGUUUGUUUGUUUUUAAAAUAAAAUAUUAUCC
rnacentral:lncRNA from 7 species